GAUGAAGAACGUAGCGAAAUGCGAUACUUGGUGUGAAUUGCAGAAUCCCGUGAACCAUCGAGUCUUUGAACGCAAGUUGCGCCCGAAGCCAUUAGGCCGAGGGCACGCCUGCCUGGGUGUCACACGUCGUUGCCCCCCCAUCUACUCCUUCGGGAUUGCGGGGGGCGGAUGAUGGCCUCCCGUGCGCCUCGUCGCGCGGUUGGCAUAAAUGCCAAGUCCUCGGCGACGCACGCCACGACAAUCGGUGGUUGCGAAACCUCGGUUGCCCGUCGUGUGCGGUCGUCGCGCAUCGAGGGCUCGAAAAAAUUGCCGGGCUCCGGCUCGGCUUUCAACGCGACCCCAGGUCAGGAGGGGUUACCCGCUGAAUUUAAGCAUAUCAAUAAGCGGAGGA
rnacentral:misc_RNA from 1 species